AUGAACAAAGCAAGAGGAAGGGGGAGGGCCCCUUGGUGCUAUUUUCAGCCAUUAUUAACAGAGAUCAAAAGCAGCAGCACAAAGUCAGAGCCCAUCGAAGGGUACAGGGCUGCGAUCCCAGCCGGGAGCGGAUGCUGGUGGGAUGGGGUCACGCGUCCGGACGCCUGGGAUCCCUGUGCUCUGCUGGAAACACCCCGCAGGCUGCAGCAACUCGUGCAGCAGGCUUCAGAUUUGGAGGCAAGUCUCCGUGUUUCUUCUAUUUGUUACCACUUUGUGUUACAGAGCCUGGGAGCCCAAGGCGCAGUCUCGCCCCGACACGUGGGUGUGCGUAGCAGAAUCUGAGCAAGUCCCUCCAGCAGCAGGGAAAGGCAGAAUUAAGGAAUUGAUGCAGUGGUAUCUUACUCUUUGAAACAACUUCCAGGGGGAAAAAAAAACCUGAGGGACACUUCAUAACAAAUAGCCAUAGGUAAAGGAGUUGGCCCACACUUCUACUCAACACCUCAGAUGAAAUACGACUUUGUUGGGCACUGCAAUGGAUUUCAUCAGUCUGUGCAUGGAUCUUGCUCCACUGAGGGGCUGUGCGCGUCUUUGGUGAAAUACAAUCUCUUCAUGUUUAUGGGAUUUACCAUGUGCUGCUUUUUACUAACGAGUUGUUGUUCAAAAAGCACCACUGACCCUUUGAAAGCGCCCCUGCAGAGAUCCUUACCCCAAAUCCAUGGAAUGGAAGGCAUCACCCGAAGCUGCUAUGUCUGUGGGGUCAGGAGCAGAAGCUGUGCCAGACCCAGUUCUCCUCCAUUCCUUUCACAUUCAUUAGCAUGACUGGAACCCAGGGAUCCUCCAUUUUUUCCUCAGUGCAGGUCACAUUGCAAGCAGAGGAAUUCCCUGUGGUUCCCUCCAUUAAACUUUGCAGCUUCACACCUCUCUCCAGUUACAGCUGAUGACUG
rnacentral:lncRNA from 1 species